rnacentral:SRP_RNA from 1 species
GCUGGGCGUGGUGGUGCGUGCCUGUAAUCCCAGCUACUCAGGAGGCUGAGGCAGGAGAAUCACUUGAACCCAGGAGGUAGAGGUUGUGGUGAGCUGAGAUCACUCCACUGCACUCCAGCCUGGGUGACAAAGCGAGACUCUGUCUCAA